UACGGGGGGAGCAAGCGUUGUUCGGAUUUAUUGGGCGUAAAGAGCUCGUAGGCGGUUUGUCGCGUCGGCCGUGAAAACUUGGGGCUUAACUCCAAGCUUGCGGUCGAUACGGGCAGACUUGAGUUCGGCAGGGGAGACUGGAAUUCCUGGUGUAGCGGUGAAAUGCGCAGAUAUCAGGAGGAACACCGGUGGCGAAGGCGGGUCUCUGGGCCGAUACUGACGCUGAGGAGCGAAAGCGUGGGGAGCGAACAGG
rnacentral:rRNA from 1 species